GACAUUUCAAACUCUGUUUCUUCCAGGCACCUCUGACAAGUCCAUAAAGACAUUCUGAACCCACUGAGGCAAAAGCAGCCAGAAGAGACAUAUUUGUAGUUCUGCCUCAGACCUUGGCAAGGACCAGUCUUGACCUUCUUGGAGCUUCAGUUGGUGACUUGCCUCUUGGAGGUGGUUUUGGACUGGGACUUCAGCUUUGAUUUGGGACCUUGGCUUACUGGACUGCUCCUGGAUCUUCUCCUUUGGACUUCAUCUUGGAACUCAAGAGUCAACAGACCUGACUUUCAUCCUUGUUUGAUACUGAAUUGA
rnacentral:lncRNA from 1 species